rnacentral:rRNA from 1 species
UAGUGGCGGACGGGUGAGUAACGCGUGGGUAACCUACCCUGUACAGGGGGAGUAACAGUCAGAAAUGACUGCUAAUACCGCAUAAGACCACAGCACCGCAUGGUGCAGGGGUAAAAACUCCGGUGGUACAGGAUGGACCCGCGUCUGAUUAGCUGGUUGGUGAGGUAACGGCUCACCAAGGCGACGAUCAGUAGCCGGCUUGAGAGAGUGAACGGCCACAUUGGGACUGAGACACGGCCCAAACUCCUACGGGAGGCAGCAUG